rnacentral:rRNA from 1 species
AUUGAACGCUGGCGGCAUGCUUUACACAUGCAAGUCGAACGGUAACAGGGAGCUUGCUCCGCUGACGAGCGGCGAACGGGUGAGUAAUGCGUCGGAACGUGCCGAGUAGUGGGGGAUAACGCAUCGAAAGGUGUGCUAAUACCGCAUACGAACUGAGGUUGAAAGUGGGGGACCUUCGGGCCUCACGCUAUUCGAGCGGCCGACGUCUGAUUAGCUAGUUGGUGAGGUAAAGGCUCACCAAGGCGACGAUCAGUAGCGGGUCUGAGAGGAUGAUCCGCCACACUGGGACUGGGACACGGCCCAGACUCCUACGGGAGGCAGCAGUGGGGAAUUUUGGACAAUGGGCGCAAGCCUGAUCCAGCCAUGCCGCGUGUCUGAAGAAGGCCUUCGGGUUGUAAAGGACUUUUGUCCGGGAGCAAAUGCUGGUGGCUAACAUCCACCGGAGCUGAGAGUACCGGAAGAAUAAGCACCGGCUAACUACGUGCCAGCCGCCGCAGUAAAAC